rnacentral:rRNA from 1 species
ACGCUGGCGGUAUGCUUAACACAUGCAAGUCGAACGGGAUCUUCGGAUUUAGUGGCGGACGGGUGAGUAACGCGUGAGGAUCUGCCUUCAGGACGGGGACAACAGCUGGAAACGGCUGCUAACACCCGAUGUGCCGAGAGGUGAAAUAUUUUAUAGCCUGAAGAUGAGCUCGCGUCUGAUUAGCUAGUUGGUUAGGUAAUGGCUGACCAAGGCGACGAUCAGUAACUGGUCUGAGAGGAUGACCAGUCACACUGGGACUGAGACACGGCCCAGACUCCUACGGGAGGCAGCAGUGGGGAAUUUUCCGCAAUGGGCGCAAGCCUGACGGAGCAAUACCGCGUGAGGGAGGACGGCUUUUGGGUUGUAAACCUCUUUUCUCUGGGAAGAAGAUAAUGACGGUACCAGAGGAAUCAGCAUCGGCUAACUCCGUGCCAGCAGCCGCGGUAAUACGGAGGAUGCAAGCGUUAUCCGGAAUUAUUGGGCGUAAAGCGUCCGUAGGUGGUUUUGAAAGUCUAUUGUCAAAGCGCGGGGCUUAACCUCGUAAGGGCAGUAGAAACUAUGAGACUAGAGUUCGGUAGGGGUCAGGGGAAUUCCCAGUGUAGCGGUGAAAUGCGUAGAUAUUGGGAAGAACACCAGCGGCGAAAGCGCCUGACUGGGCCUGAACUGACACUGAUGGACGAAAGCUAGGGGAGCGAAAGGGAUUAGAUACC